rnacentral:lncRNA from 1 species
UGGAAUUGAGUGGCAUAGGAGUGAUGUACAUCACUUCACCUUUCGAAUGGUGCCUGGAUCGUGCAUUUUAGUUAACAUUUGAAACUCUGCAUUUUUUGGUCUCCACCGGAGAUCACGGUGGCGCUGGCCACCGUCUGUUUGCCAGAUCCAAUCUGAGCCGCACGAUGCAUUUUCCAGAUUUAAUCUCCAUGCUCCAUUGUUAUGACUUUUUCUUGGUAUCCAUGUGGUUGCAUUGACUGUGGACUACACUAGGCGCGCGCUUGUGGAUCCUUGGAUCUGCC